GAACGCACCUUGCACUCCUUGGUAUUCCGAGGAGUACGCCUGUUCGAGUGUUAUGAAGCUCUCAAAACGCAAUUGGCUUAAAACCUGAUUGUUGUUUUGGAUUUGAACUUUGCCGUGUUACAACGGCUGGUUUUAAAAGCAUUAGCUGGUACUAGAACGAAUUGGUUCUACUCAACGUGAUAAUUAUCUGAUCGUUGAGGACAUUCCUUUCACGAGGAAUGGCCAUAGUAAAUUCAAUGGACUGCUUCUAACUUGGCUUUAAUUCUUAAUUGGAUUAACCACUUUUCAAAUCUGACCUCGAAUCAGGUGGGACUACCCGCUGAACUUA
rnacentral:misc_RNA from 1 species